rnacentral:rRNA from 1 species
UACGUAGGGUGCAAGCGUUGUCCGGAAUUAUUGGGCGUAAAGAGCUCGUAGGCGGUUUGUCGCGUCUGCUGUGAAAACUCAGGGCUUAACCCUGAGCCUGCAGUGGGUACGGGCAGACUAGAGUGUGGUAGGGGAGAUCGGAAUUCCUGGUGUAGCGGUGGAAUGCGCAGAUAUCAGGAGGAACACCGAUUGCGAAGGCAGCUCGCUGGAACGUUACUGACGCUGAGACGCGAAAGCGUGGGGAGCAAACAGG